AUUUCCGUCUGCUCCGUAGCACAGAAAGUGAGCUUUCCGGUGCAAUGGGCCCAUGACGCAAUUAAGUGCGUGGUCUGGUUCGUUCGGCUGGACACAGUUGACCUAGGUUUCAGAGUUCCGACGGUGAGCGGCGGCAGCGGCGCCGACGGCGACCAGAAUGGAGUUCCUCAUUCAGCCUAUCCACGGAUCCACUUUUCUUGAGGAGGUGGGGAGAGUUCGGUUCCGGCACCGGUGCGGGCGGAGGCAUCGGCUGCCAGUAUAGUCGUUCAGCCACAGGUUCCGUUGGAGGAAAUAGCAGCAAAGCAGUUGGGGGCAGAGGAUCAGCCGCUUGACACAGGGGAGGCACAAAUGAUGAUGGUGAGUGAAGCAGGGGCGGAGAGGAGAGACACAUCUCCACCAAGCUCUGAGCUUUCAGCCGGCAAGAUGAACCCACGAGCUCCAGGCUGCAAUAAGAGUUUCGUGCAGCUGUGUCUCAGCAACUGCAACUAGAUGUUUUUUCAGUUAUUACCAAGAAUGGUAGAAUAUCUUGUACCAAAUGAAUUUGAAUGGGUGUUAGAACGGAAUGUAUACGAGUAGUAGGAGGCUCGGCUGAAAGGAUAGCAGUGUGGAUAGCAUAGCUGAUCUUUGCCCUGUUUAUUUGAUUGGCACUUAGCGGUUUAGCUUUAAUGAAGGGAAUCCAGGGAAUUUGUAAACAUUGAAACAAAUGCAGCUGUGGUAUCUUAUAAUUUUGCGCUCGUAACUAGUAUUUUUCUUUCUAGGCAGAAGGUGAGGGUGAAAACGACGGGACUGAAAAAUUAGAUUGCUUGGACACAGAAAGGUUUAAGUGACGUAAUUACGAUGGCAGUGUUGGAUGGAUGUACUGAAAAAUUGCUUGUGAGGAAACAUCACUGUACAGUGAAAAGUUGCUGAUCGGAGCAGUUGCACCUAGCCGCCUGCCUUGCCCAAACCGUGUCAGUGCAUUUGAGAAGGCUGUUCGGAACUAUGCUGAGAAUCCAAGAGACCAUGUGGUCACUCCCACUAUUGGCACGGCAUUUGACUCAGUUGGAGAGGGUUAUGACUUCUUCAAUUUAUAUUCAUGGGAGAAAGGCUUUUGUAUUCGACAUGGCAAGAGCCGGCUAAAUGUAGAGAGAACAAUAUGCAUGCAGGAAAUAAUGUGCGGCUGCUCGGGGAAGGCUGGUGUUGAGAAUACGAGAUCCUGUCGUUGUGAAUGUCCCGCCCUGAUAAGGUUGCUGCGAGCAGAGGAUAAUGGGUGGUAUAUUGCGGAGCAUAGGGAUACUCAUAACCACUCGUUGUCCCCGAACUUUGGCGAGACACUCCAUUGGCCAUCGAACAAGCAUAUAGAUGCGUACACACGAGACCUUGUGAAGCAGUUGCGUCAGAAGUAGUGGUGUAUGUGGUGGACAGUGACAGCCGUGGAGAGUCCGAAUUUGAAGAAUGGUCUGACGAUGCUCAUGAAAGGAUGGUUGACAUUGACAGGAGGCUGAGGGAGCAGGAAGAUAAAGAUGCAGAAGUGGCAAGGAAGUGUCAGGAAGAUGCAGAAAAGGAAGCAAAAGAGCAACAUGCAAAAGAUGGAGAACUUGUAAGGAAAUGUCAAGAGGAGAUGGAGCAGAACGCGAGGGACCAAGUGGCAACUGAUAAUCAUGUUGCACCUACUGACGAGCAGAUCAAGAAGGUGUGUGCACGUGGUGUGGGUGAUGAUGCAGGGAGGACAAGGACAGGGGAACGGCGAUCAUCAGAUGUAGUGGUUCAGAAAAGCUUAGAUGAUUUUUUCUACUGUCGGAGUGGCAUGUCCUUGGAAGGAGUCAGUACAGGGCGGCGGUCCGUCCGCCAGAAGAGACGAAAGACUAAGAAAUCAAGCAGGGCAGGGCAUAAGCAGCGAAAGAGAGUUAAGUUCUCAAAUAUUGUUCAAACAAUUUGUCUGACUGAAAGCUCUGGAAGUGAUGACAACAUUUUUUAUGAUGGGAACGAGGCUAGUGGUGAGGACAAUGGGGAUCGUACUUCACACCGAAUUGCCAACGGGGGGAGGGAUGCUGUGGCGGGGGCGCGUGAGAGCAGGUCUGCAAAUGAUGGCUUUAAUGCUGCAGCUAAUGAAGUAGAUCCGAAAAUUGCAGCGCAGAGGGAUGCUGAUGGCAUACACGCAUCUGAAGAAGAGGUGCCUGUCAGUACUGGCACACUAUAUCGGCAUGACAACAACGAUGGAUACACUUUUGAGGGGAGAACUGCCAUACCGAAUCAUGGCAAUCUGAAGUCGGGGGGAGCUCAACACAGGUGCAAGGGCGCUCUGAGAAUUUGGUGCAAGAGUGUUUAGAUCUUCUAAACACUCUUAUAUUAGUUUACGGAGGGAGUACCAGGCACAGAGGGUCAAAGAACUGGAGCAGAGCAUAGAGCACCAGUAUCAAAGAGAAUGACAAGAAAUCUGAGGUUGCCUGUGGGGAUAGUGAGGAUCGACGUGAAGGCCGAGAUGGGAAUCUUCCACAGCAAGGCUGUCUGCGGCGGAUGCAUUAUAUGAGUAAAAAAAAUCGGUGGGUGGAGGCUACCGUUUGUUCUGUAACGGCUGAGGCGUGGCUCAGUCCGGUGGGUGUACAUCUGAGCCGCCUAAUGGGGGUGACGGCCGUCCAGAUAAAUGCGGCACUUGGGUGGGCCCUAUUCUGUGCGAAAGCAUCUGCUACUACUCAGAAUUAACUAACAGUAUAACUGAGCGAGCAACGAGCAACCACAGUGACUUUCCUUCGUCA